GAUGAACGCUGGCGGCGUGCCUAAUACAUGCAAGUCGAGCGAACAGAUGAGGAGCUUGCUCCUCUGACGUUAGCGGCGGACGGGUGAGUAACACGUGGAUAACCUACCUAUAAGACUGGGAUAACUUCGGGAAACCGGAGCUAAUACCGGAUAAUAUAUUGAACCGCAUGGUUCAAUAGUGAAAGACGGUUUUGCUGUCACUUAUAGAUGGAUCCGCGCCGCAUUAGCUAGUUGGUAAGGUAACGGCUUACCAAGGCGACGAUGCGUAGCCGACCUGAGAGGGUGAUCGGCCACACUGGAACUGAGACACGGUCCAGACUCCUACGGGAGGCAGCAGUAGGGAAUCUUCCGCAAUGGGCGAAAGCCUGACGAAGCAACGCCGCGUGAGUGAUGAAGGUCUUCGGAUCGUAAAACUCUGUUAUUAGGGAAGAACAAAUGUGUAAGUAACUAUGCACGUCUUGACGGUACCUAAUCAGAAAGCCACGGCUAACUACGUG
rnacentral:rRNA from 1 species